AUGUGUUGUCCCAGAUCCAGAUGGGUUGGUUUUGAGUUAUUGUUUGGGUUAGAAAAUUUUCAAACCAUGCAUCUGUUAACAUUUAGAGAAAACUACAUGUGUUUAUUUUGGGUUGUAGUUCAUAGAGCACUUCCAUGUUGCCGUGGAUACUGGGUGCUGCUCUGCCAUGCUUAUUUGUCUCAUUUUGCUUUGUUCUUUUUUGCUUAUAUGGUGAUCUCCUUUUUUCCUUAUGUUAGCAGUGAGUUAUUUCUGUUUUUCUGGUUUUCCAUUGCUCCUAAAAUGUACAUCAAAAUCAGUGUGGCUGUAUUCAGAGAGAUGAGCUACUAUGUAGACAUUAUUUGUUUUUGUUAUGUACUUGGUUACUUAAUAAUCAUUCUUGAUAUUGAAAAGGGACAGAAAUAA
rnacentral:rRNA from 1 species